CCAAACUUGGUCAUUUAGAGGAAGUAAAAGUCGUAACAAGGUUUCCGUAGGUGAACCUGCGGAAGGAUCAUUAAUGAGUUUGAACCAGAGGUUUGUUGCUGGUGCGGAAACGUACAAGUGCACGGCCUCUGUGCUUCUCAAUCCACUCAACCCCUGUGCACCUUAUCGAAUUGUGAGUAGUCUCUUUCUUUUCCCUCGCUUCUUUGGAGAGGGGGUAAGAGAGGGGGUGAAAGCUUUCGACCUUAUUAUAAACCAAUUUGUAUGUCUUUGGGAAUUGCAUUAGCUCCUCGUGAGCGAAUAUAAUACAACUUUCAACAACGGAUCUCUUGGCUCUCGCAUCGAUGAAGAACGCAGC
rnacentral:misc_RNA from 1 species